rnacentral:rRNA from 1 species
GUGCCAGCCGCCGCGGUAAUACGUAGGAGGCGAGCGUUGUCCGGAGUUACUGGGCGUAAAGCGCACGCAGGCGGUCUGAUAAGUCUCAGGUGACAGUCCCCGGCUUAACUGGGGAAGUGUCUGGGAAACUGCCAGACUUGAGGGCUUCAGAGGGACAGGGAAUUCCGGGUGUAGUGGUGAAAUGCGUAGAUAUCCGGAGGAACACCAAAGGCGAAGGCACUGUCCUGGGAAGCAUCUGACGCUCAGGUGCGAAAGCUAGGGGAGCGAACGGGAUUAGAUACCCCUGUAGUCC